GCAUGGCUGUCGUCAGGCUCGUGUCGUGAGAUGUUGGGUUAAGUCCGUACGAGCGCAACCCUUGUCCUUAGUUACCAGCACGUUAUGGUGGGCACUCUAAGGAGACUGCCGGUGACAACCGGACGGAAGGUGGGGAUGACGUCAAGUCAUCAUGGCCCUUACGGCCUGGGCUACACACGUGCUACAAUGGUCGGUACAAAGGGUUGCCAAGCCGCGAGGUGGAGCUAAUCCCAUAAAACCGAUCGUAGUCCGGAUCGCAGUCUGCAACUCGACUGCGUGAAGUCGGAAUCGCUAGUAAUCGUGAAUCAGAAUGUCACGGUGAAUACGUUCCCGGGCCUU
rnacentral:rRNA from 1 species